GGAAGGGUAGCGAAGAGGCUAAACGCGGCGGACUGUAAAUUCGCUCCUUCGGGUUCGGGGGUUCGAAUCCCUCCCCUUCCA
rnacentral:tRNA from 1 species